ACACUGAUGACACACUUGAUGAGAAUAGUAAUUUAGAUAGUGCAACUUAUAGAGAUAUUGUGAAGGAGAAAAAGAAUGAAAAGAGAGAUAGAAUAGUGAUUCAAAUGGACAAAGCAGUAGAGGACUUUGGAAUCAAUUUAGAACCAUCAUCUAGAGUAAAGUUGAAUCAUCCAUUGGAUCAAGUAAUUGGAGAUGUCACUAUACCAAUGAAGACAAGGUAUCAAAUAGGGAAUGAGGUAAACUACUUGUGCUAUACUUCUUCGUUAGAACCUAAAAAUGUGAAAGAAGCAUUAAUUGAUGAGCAUUGGAUAACUACUAUGCAUGAAGAAUUAGGUCAAUUUGUGCAUAAUGAUGUGUGGACUCUUAUACCUAAACCUAAUAACGUGAAUGUGAUAGGUACCAAAUAAAUAUUUAAAAAUAAAUCUGAUGAAUUUAACACUAUUACAAGGAAUAAGGCAAGACUUGUACCAAAAGAAUACACUCAAAUUGAAGGAAUAUACUUUGAUGAGACCUUUGCCCCUGUUGCGAGGUUGGAGUUUGUUCGAAUUUUACUUACCAUUGCUUGUCAUCUAAGCUUUAGACUUCACCGGACAGAUAUGAAAAGUGCUUUUAUGAAUGGCAUUCUACAUGAAAAAGCCUAUGUUGAACAAUCAAAAGGGUUUGAAGAUCCUAAGCAUCCUGACCAUGUGUACAAGCUUAAAAAACCUUUAUAUAGAUCAAAACAAACGCCUCGAGCUUGGUAUGAAAUGUUGACUACUUUUCUUCUAAAGUCUGACUUUUCUCGAAGGGAGCUGAUAAAACCCUAUUUAUGAAGAGAGAAUCUAAGCACAUUCUUAUUGCUCAAAUCUAUGUCGAUGAUAUUGUGUUUGGUUCUACUUCUGAAAAUCUUACUCAAAAUUUCUUCAAACAUAUGAAAAGUCAAUUGAAAUGAGCAUGAUGGGAGAGUUGAAUUACUUCCUAGGGUUACAAGUCAAACAGAUGGAUAAAAGGAUUUUUAUUUCUUAAUCCAAAUAUGCUGGAGACUUAGUAAAACAAUUUGGCUUGAAAAAUGCUAAACAUGCUAGAACUCCUAUGAGUACUAGUCUUAAGCUUAAUAAGGAUACUGGAAAGGAUGUUGAUUAAACUCUGUACAGAAGUAUGAUUGGUAGUUUUCUUUACUUAACUGCUAAUGGACCUGGCAUUGCAUUUAGUGUUGGUAUUUGUGCUUGUUUUUAGGCAUGUCCCAAAGAAUCACACUUGUUUGCUAUCAAAAGAAUUAUUAAUAGGUUAAUGGUACUCUUGGGUAUGGUAUCAACUUUACCUUAGACACGAAUGAGAAUAUUGUAAGAUAUACUGAUGCAAAUUGUGUAGGGUCUGCCGAUGAUCAUAAGAGCACCUAUAGGGGGUGUUUUUAUGUAGGCAAUAAUCUUAUUGCUUGGCAUACUAAAAAGCAGAAUGCCAUUUCUUUGUCCACUACUGAGGCAGAGUACAUAGCUACUGGAAGCUAUUGUACUCAGCUCUUGUAGAUGAAACAAAUGUUGAGUGACUAUAGCUUAGAAUAGAAUGUCAUGACCUUUUGUGAUAACAUGAGUGCGAUUAGUAUCUCUAAGAAUCCUGUUCAACACUCUCGCACUAAACGUAUUGACAUAAGAUAUCUGUCACGUGCUAGUCAAACCAAGACCCGGCUACGUAAAGCAAACAACUUAAAUGUGAAAAAGUCAAACUAAAUAACAUGACAAUACACUGUUACUACAUCAGAGUACAGUAACUAAUCCUCCCAUAGGACCAUGCUCUCCAUGAGCUAUCAAAUAUAAAACAAGAAUGAUAUCCCAUGGACAAUGCUCACACUGGGCUAAAAGAAUAAUUACAAUUCCCAAAAGUACAUUUAUAUAUUUUCUAGACAAAAAGAAGGUAACAACAAUUCACAUGCCUCACGAUUCAGGAUAACCCUCGGUAACUAAAAUUUAUUUUAUAGUAAAGAUGAGUUACCUUGAAAAGAUUUAAUAAUGAACUUGAUGUCUCAAGCUAAAACCAUGAUACAUAACUAUAUAACGAAAAUAUGAUGCAAUAAAGUAUGUUUUCGUUCAUAUCAAAAUAUAUUUUUGAUUUCUAAUCCAUGAUUUCACAAAUCAUUUAGUUUUCACAUAUUUCGGCUUUUCUCAAAAGCAAUAUUUUCAUAAUUUCUCAAAUCAAUGAUUUUACAAACUUUACGGCUCCUCACAAGCAUUAAUCAUUACUCCGGAUUUUCUCAAAAAGCAAUAAUUCAAUUCCUUUGAAUGACACACCUAGGCUAAUAUCUAGCUAGCGUCGUUAUGCAAUAAGCAUGUGGGACAAUAUCCAGCCAACUUCUCGGGCUUUUACCAAAGGCUUUGACAUUUCCUCAUUCCGGCCUACUUCUCUAACUUUCACCGAAGGUUUGACAUACCAAAUAUCCGGCCACAUUCUCGAUCACUAACCAAGGGGUCGACAUUCCCUCCCGCAAGGUUGAUAUCUAGGUCUCUCACCUCGGACUUAAUCUAAG
rnacentral:lncRNA from 1 species